rnacentral:rRNA from 1 species
AUUGAACGCUGGCGGCAUGCCUUACACAUGCAAGUCGAACGGCAGCACGGGUGCUUGCCCCUGGUGGCGAGUGGCGAACGGGUGAGUAAUACAUCGGAACAUGUCCUGUAGUGGGGGAUAGCCCGGCGAAAGCCGGAUUAAUACCGCAUACGAUCUACGGAUGAAAGCGGGGGACCUUCGGGCCUCGCGCUAUAGGGUUGGCCGAUAGCUGAUUAGCUAGUUGGUGGGGUAAAGGCCUACCAAGGCGACGAUCAGUAGCUGGUCUGAGAGGACGACCAGCCACACUGGGACUGAGACACGGCCCAGACUCCUACGGGAGGCAGCAGUGGGGAAUUUUGGACAAAGGGCGAAAGCCUGAUCCAGCAAUGCCGCGUGUGUGAAGAAGGCCUUCGGGUUGUAAAGCACUUUUGUCCGGAAAGAAAUCCUUGGCUCUAAUACAGUCGGGGGAUGACGGUACCGGAAGAAUAAGCACCGGCUAACUACGUG